rnacentral:rRNA from 1 species
UGGGGAAUAUUGGACAAUGGAGGAAACUCUGAUCCAGCAAUUCUGUGUGUGUGAAGAAGGUUUUAGGACUGUAAAACACUUUUAGUAGGGAAGAAAAAAAUGACGUUACCUACAGAAGAAGCAACGGCUAAAUACGUGCCAGCAGCCGCGGUAAUACGUAUGUUGCGAGCGUUAUCCGGAAUUAUUGGGCUUAAAGGGCAUCUAGGCGGUAAGACAAGUUGAAGGUGAAAACCUGUGGCUCAACCAUAGGCUUGCCUACAAAACUGUUGAACUAGAGUACUGGAAAGGUGGGUGGAACUACACGAGUAGAGGUGAAAUUCGUAGAUAUGUGUAGGAAUGCCGAUGAUGAAGAUAACCCACUGGACAGAAACUGACGCUGAAGUGCGAAAGCUAGGGGAGCAAACAGG